AGGACGCCAGAGAGGGUUGGAGUGAAAGGUGACCGUGGGGGCACAGGCAGCGAGGCUGUGUACAGCAGAAGACUACGAAUUAAAAAUACACCCGUGGGUGGGGUGGCAGGGAGGCUGCUGGUAACCUUUACGAGAGCUGGUGUUCUGGAGAGCUGCAGGCAGAUGGCAGAUGGCAAUGUGUAGAGGAGAGAAGGGAGUGAGAAGAGGAGGUGGCGAGCUUCGUCAUGGGAAGGACAGAGCGAGCUGUGGUUGGAAGGGGGAGCCGAAUCAAGGAGCUGAAUUUAUUUCCGGAAGAGGACAGAAAAAAAAAAAAAUCAACAGUAUCGGCUGGUAGGGAAGAGCAAACGUAAGUUCUGAAGGUCAGAGAGAGGAGACAGCUGAACGAGGCCUUGGCAGAGGCGAGGAGACAGGAGCUCAGGAUGAAAUGGCUUUCCAAUGGAAUUCUUCUCUGAGAUGAGAGGAAAUUAACUAAGGAAAGGUGAUACUGGAUGAGGCAGGGGGUGAGCUGAUGUGAACCAAGAGUUGCCCCACAGCCAAUGGAGACUUCUGAGAAAGUUAGAAGAGUCGGACGAGCAUGAAGAAUGUCCGAAGCAAAUGCUGUCUCGAUCCAUAGAUGGUUUGUUUCCUCAGUCAAGGCUUGGGCUGGCAUCAGAGAGCAGAGCUGGGCUUAGCAGCAGGGUGAGGACUUCUGCUGUUUAGAGAAUAAAGUUCACUUGCGUCCAGGGACAUGGAGGCAGUAGACCUUGCGAUUCAAACUGCUGCGGUCCUAAGUCUUCAGGAUAAUUCAGUGGUUUCCACAGUCCCGACUACAGCACCCUCAGGGUCCUAGGAGAUCUGUACCCUUUCUCAUCAGGACUUCCUGGGAAGACGUGAACAAAUGCCUAUUCACUUCAGAGAGGGCACAGAUGACGGACAAAAGCAAUGAUUCCAUUCAAGUCCAGCUGGCUGAACCAAAUGCAAACUCCAUGAGGGAAUAUGCCUGCUUCGCUCACUCCUGUCUUCUGACAAUCUAAAACAGUACCUGACUCAGUGCAUAAAAUGCCAUCCACCAGAGGCCAAAACAGGACAGGUGGCAGCCACUGGAACUGGAAAUGAGGUGCCAAGAUAAUGGAUGGAGGGACCCACAGGCCAGCUCUGAGGGAGGGCUCCCUCACAGGCCCCAUUGUGUUUCCCGUAAUGAACAGACUGUAACACGCGAGGGCCCCAUUACCACUUGGAUUCCCUGGAUUUUACGAAUCUUCUUCUCGUGCGUGGGCCUUCGCACAACUGCUUUUGAUGAAGCCCACGUGAUUACGAUGACUGGACAGGGCUGGGUCACCCCACACCCCGGGCUUCACACCAAGUAACAGGGGAAGUGGUAGUUCUGCAUGGGACGAUUCUCCAAGACUCUGGGAAAUUCCCAAACUAGCUGGCUGGCACGGGUAACCCCCAGUGAACUGGAUUUGUAAUAGUUAGAGGCUUUGUGAGUCAGAAACCUGUAGGCUCUUGAACCAUCACCUGGCUUUAAAAGGCAGAAUUAUGCCGGGCGGUGGUGGCGCACGCCUUUAAUCCCAGCACUCGGGAGGCAGAGGCAGGCGGAUCUCUGUGAGUUCGAGGCCAGCCUGGGCUACCAAGUGAGUUCCAGGAAAGGCGCAAAGCUACACAGAGAAACCCUGUCUUGAAAAACCAAAAAAAAAAAAAAGGCAGAAUUAUGAGGCCGCCAGUUGAGCGGGUGUUGGGCCCUGUCGACCACUCUUGUCUUCCUUCCACAGGAGGACACCUUUGGCGCCUCUUCCCAUAACAGGGUGGAGGGGGCUGAGUCUUGAGCAUUAAGACCCCUGCUUCAGACUCUCCCCUCUCACAGCCUCUGACCUUUCUGCAUCCACAACUGCUUCGCACACCAGAACCCAAACUUCCUAUCACUUGGGCUGGUGCAGUGAGGGGUUUCUAAGUUGAGGAAAAUCCCGGAGUUAGGGGUUUUGCACCUCCUAAUAGUGGUCUAUUUCCUAAGGCAGGCAACGGAAGCUUCUGUGCUUUCUCACCUGUGAUCAGAAGCUAAGCAAGAGUGGAGAGGAUUUCAGCCUUCACGAAAGAGCUUGCUUGGGAACUUGUGGGUGAACAGGAAGCGUCUUUCCAUUCCCGGUCCAUCAAAAUAUGCCACAAGGGCCUGGGGUUAGGCAGUAUGCCUCCAUGAAAGAAGAAUGGGGAUGAUUCUUAUUAUGAGCCAAUGCUUUGAGAGUGUUUCAUCUAGCUAGUUGGAAUUCCAGGAAUCUGUCCCACAGAAAGAAAAUCAGAGACACAGACAAUAUUUGUGUUGAUGAUGUUCCUUGCAAGGGUAUCUCCUAGCUGCUAGAAUACUUAUCAUGAGAACUGGUCACAGAAUCCCAAUAGAGGGACAACAGCCUUAUAUUAGAGUGUCAACCUCUGGAGUGGCUGGGUUUUUUUUUUUUUAAAUUUACUAAGAAGAAAGAUUGGAAGGACGAUGCACCUCAGCUCCUUUCUGUAUGAAUUCAAUUUUAUCUUCACACAUUUUUGUUCUUUAAUGGGCACAGGAAAAUAUAAGUGGUGCAGACCAGCCACUUUCAGAGGGCCUCCUUCCCAGUGACAGUGGGUUUCUCCCUUUCUCCUCAUGGCUGUUCCAUACUCUAGAAAUAGGUCAUUCUUUUGUAAUCAGUGUAAGUAGAAGAGAAACAAAAGAAAAAAGAACUGUGGAUGAAGACUUGUGUUCAGAUGUACCCUGUACUGCUAGCCGAGUACCUUCCGUCAAUCUUGAUCAACAUGGUUGAUCUUUCUUUCUCCUAUGGGAACACAAUGCCUCUGUCCCAAGGAAAACAACAAUAAGGAAACCUGGUGAAUAAGAAGCUAUAAAACUGCAGUUCCAAGCUUGAUAUGGUGGGUCUUAGAGAGUUUCUUUCCAGAACUCUGUGGCCUACCCCGGGGGGUGAUGGUGGGGGAGUCCAGGAGACAGUGCCUGAUUCAGCCUGAAUCCUGCGGCAAGUCAGACAAUGAGGGCUUUUCCUUCCUGUAAAUGAAAGGGCUAUGUGAACCCAAGGUUCUUCCCCCACUAACAUGCACCUCUUGGCUACCAGGCAGGAGGAGUACUUCCUAUUAACGCCUGCAGGGUUUGGCCAGGAUGUUUUUCUAGGGCAUCCUCAACCACCUGGUACAACAGUGGCAUUCUUCAGGCCCAUUCUUGACCUUUCUGUGUGAGUAACAGACAGGAGUAAUUCUAAAUCACAAAGCAAACAAGGAUGUGCUUCUGAAAUGCUGAACAAGUUUGUAAAAGAAUAUGUGAUUUAAUUAGCAAACAGAAAAAUUGAUAACAUGAGCUCAAUACAUAUGGAAAAGUAUUGUCUUCCCGCCCACAAUUGACACAGUCAUAGAGAAAGCUGCUUUGGUCCUGCAAACACAGUGAAUAAUGCCAGAGAGUUGCUGAGUUCAGGAGCAUUUGGGAAGGCUGUAAUUCAGGGCAAUCAGAGGGUUAAUAAAAGAGCUCCUGUGACCCUUG